UACAGAGACCCCGAGCAUUAUCCGGAAUUACUGGGCGUAAAGCGCGCGCAGCCGGUUGCGUUAGUCUGGUGUUAAACCCUCGGGCCCAACCCGAGGACUGCAUUGGAAACGGCGCACCUUGAGUAGAUGAGAGGAAGGCAGAACGUAUAGUGUAGGGGUGAAAUCCACUGAUAUUAUACGGAAUACCAAAAGCGAAGGCAGCCUUCUAGCGUCUUACUGACGGUCAAUCGCGAAAGCGUGGGGAUCAAAAAGG
rnacentral:rRNA from 1 species